CCAGGCUCAUCCACUGAAGGUUAAUAGAGGGUCAUGCAGGUUAGGUAAAAGGAAGAUUGUCUUUACAGGUUGUCGCAGAGGAUGUACUGAUGGCUGUUCUAUGGGACCUCAGAAAAUAUAAUUUAAAUGACCCAUCUGGAACACUGAGAGCAUGUUAUGAGAACUGUCACAAAAUGGCUGACACAGGCAACAUUCUUGGAAGUGGCAAUUACAAACCUUCCUAGGGUUGAGAGAGAGUGACUGACCCAAGGUCACCCAACUAGCUUCGUGUCUAAGCGGAACUAGAACUCACAGUCCUUCGGUUUCUAGCCUGACGCCUUAGCCGCUACACCAAACUGGCUCUGAAUAAUCAUUCCUAAGUUAAUUAAGAAAGUAAAAAUUCAGCGAUCCUUGAAUCUGAUGCCUAAAAGGCUGCUAAUCUUUCAGUAGGCACCUCUCCGUACAGAUCACACAGAGGAAUGAAUGCCUUUUACAAAAAGUGGCUGCGAGGAGGCUCCGUUCAGCACAUUUCCCCGACAUCAGCGGAGCGGCUGGCGUCGCCCGUCGGAGCCUUCUCUCCAGUUCCCUCCAAGGCAAAGCGAAAGCAGCUGAGCCAUUGGCUGAGCCAAAGGAGCAGCGACAAUAACUAUACGCCACACGGGCUAUUCCGGG